rnacentral:rRNA from 1 species
UACAGAGGGGGCAAGCGUUAUUCGGAAUUAUUGGGCGUAAAGGGCGCGUAGGCGGCUUUGCAAGUGACGGGUGAAAUCCCUCGGCUUAACCGAGGAACUGCCUGUCAAACUGCAUGGCUUGAGACCGGGAGAGGUGAGUGGAAUUCCCAGUGUAGCGGUGAAAUGCGUAGAUAUUGGGAGGAACACCAGUGGCGAGGGCGGCUCACUGGACCGGUACUGACGCUGAUGCGCGAAAGCGUGGGGAGCAAACAGG